UACGUAGGAGGCAAGCGUUGUCCGGAAUUACUGGGCGUAAAGAGCUCGUAGGUGGUUUGUCGCGUUGUUCGUGAAAACUCACAGCUCAACUGUGGGCGUGCGGGCGAUACGGGCAGACUGGAGUACUGCAGGGGAGACUGGAAUUCCUGGUGUAGCGGUGGAAUGCGCAGAUAUCAGGAGGAACACCGGUGGCGAAGGCGGGUCUCUGGGCAGUAACUGACGCUGAGGAGCGAAAGCGUGGGGAGCGAACAGG
rnacentral:rRNA from 1 species